AUUGAACGCUGGCGGCAUGCCUUACACAUGCAAGUCGAACGGUAACGCGGGGCAACCUGGCGACGAGUGGCGAACGGGUGAGUAAUGUAUCGGAACGUGCCCAGUUGUGGGGGAUAACUGCUCGAAAGAGCAGCUAAUACCGCAUACGACCUGAGGGUGAAAGCGGGGGAUCGCAAGACCUCGCGCAAUUGGAGCGGCCGAUAUCAGAUUAGGUAGUUGGUGGGGUAAAGGCUCACCAAGCCAACGAUCUGUAGCUGGUCUGAGAGGACGACCAGCCACACUGGGAAUGAGACACGGCCCAGACUCCUACUGGAGGCAGCAGUGGGGAAUUUUGGACAAUGGACGCAAGUCUGAUCCAGCCAUGCCGCGUGCGGGAAGAAGGCUUUCGGGUUGUAAACCGCUUUUGUCAGGGAAGAAACGCUCUGGGUUAAUACCUCGGGGUAAUGACGGUACCUGAAGAAUAAGCACCGGCUAACUACGUGCCAGCCGCCGCGGUAACAC
rnacentral:rRNA from 1 species